CAUGAAAAUAUAUGAAAAGGAGGAGGAAGGAAAAAUGAAAAAAUGGGAGGUAGAAAAUACGUGAGAAAUAGAUCCUUUCUCGUUAGGAGUAUAAUCAAAUAAAAUCCUUACUUUUGACGUCGGAAAGGGAGCCUCGUUGAAGAACUAAGAAGAAAUACUAACAGCAUGUUUGGUUGAAGGUAAUGGCUAUGCCAUUACCUGCCUAUUACAAGCUUAUUCUGCUUCCCACUUAAACAGAUGUUUGGUUGAAGGGAAUACCUAUUACGUGUGUAUUCCAUUCCGUCCUUAAGCAGAAAAAUUUGGGGAUUUCUAUUCCCUUCCCUCUUCACCGUUUACCCAUUCCGUCCCAAAUCAACCCUAUUUUACCCUCACAAAUUCUUACUUCAAAAACACUCAACGACAGCCAUUUCUUGCUUCCUCCGACUCCGGCAUUCCUCCCCUUCAUCCAAGGUGAGGUGAAUAUUUUCGUUUCACUGACAGAACCUAAAAUACGAAAGCCAGAAGCCGCUUCAACAUUUUCAUCUUUGGAUUUCUGAGGUUGUAUCCCAAAUCCUGCUAAGAAAAAUGGGAGAACGUGACAGCGGAUAAGGUGAAGGAACAACAUAGGAAAGUAAUGGUAGUGAACAAGCCACUUAAGAUUCUUUGACUAACAACUUUAGUCAUUUGGAGGUUGCUUAUCCAUCAAUUUUCACAACUAGUUUUAACCUGUCAGAGGCUAUGGUUUAAUCGAAUGAGCCAUUUUUUCCGAGUCUAGCAUUGAUUCUUCAUUCUGCCAAUCAUUUCUAGGAUGCCACUUAAUUGCCUAUUUUGUGACUGGGUUUUAGCUAUGUUUGAGAACCUUGGAUUGAUGGUCACAGUAAUACAUGACUUGAAACGCAUACUUUUUGGCAAAGAUAACAGUUUGCUGCCUCUGGUGCCAUUUUGAAAUUCUCUAGCUGGAAGUGAAGCAGGAAUAAUAUCGGAUUGGGAGGAAUUUUGAAAGGGACUUGGUUGUUUUUAUCUGGUUAUUCAGAUGUAAAUUGACAUCUAUUAUGCAAUCUUUCAUGGCAUUUACGAGUGUUGAUUUUCUUCACAAGUUGGGGUUUGGAGGUUACUCAAAUGGAAGUUUGCUAUUUGUCUGACAUUCUAGGAAAUCAAACCUUGUGACUUCCCUCAGUUUCGCUAUUGCAUUGGAGGGUUUUUUGUGUUUUUAGUGGUAGCGCAGCAUUCCCAGAUUGAGCUUACCAGAAAUUCGAUGAGUACUUGCAAGCAGAUGGUUUGAUUUGUCUCAUUUUAUUGCUCGUUGGAAAUAAUUGCAUGAAAAGCUCCUCAAGUUUCAACGUUGAUAAUAUUUUGGUAAUUUUUUGUGUUUGUAAUAUUUGGAUGGUUUAAUGAGAUGAUAGAAUGUGAUUACAAUAUUGUAACUUUUUCAUGUUGUAAAAUUUUAUAACAUAUGAAUUAUGACAUAUAAACUAAUGAAAUUAUGUAACUUUUGUUAAUAUAUGAAUAUUAUGUUUGGAUGUAAAAUAUAA